GGAGAGCAGCUGAGGCUUGGCACUGUGUGGCAGGUUGGGGUACUUUAAGAGAGCCCAGGAAAUGCUAUUGAGUAAAAGUUCAGCCCAGCUGCAGCAAGAGACCCCAGCAUUUUGGAGAUACCAGUACUAUGGGAUGGCCACCAAGAAAAGCAGCAGCCUUGGAGUGGAGCCAGCCUGAACUUAGGAGACAAUCUGUGUGGGUUGUAGAGAGUAGAGCCAGAGAAGUGAUCCCAGCACUUUGUAGGAGACCAGAGGCGUUCCAUUGGACAGAAGACUCAUCUUGACUAUAACAGCUCUUAGCGACCUCAGCACACAAAUUUCCUGCUCCAUUUCCACAUUAAGCUGAAUAUCAGUGGAACUGGGAGGUGGCAACUCCUCGAGGUCACUUCUCAUGUUCAUUAGCAUUGUUUUAGGUUAAGGAAGGAGCCUGUUUUCCUUUCCUGAGCAAACAGGUGACUUUCAAGUAACUGGAAAGAAACAGCCAUCAGAGGAAGCAUCAGUGUUGAAGGGCUCCUUGGAUGCCAAUGACUGGCAAAAAUGAGGU